UUUCCGUAGGUGAACCUGCGGAAGGAUCAUUACAAAUCUUUUGCGAGUCUGUGUGCUUAACGGCCGCAGUUCUCACACAUUAGCACAAGGUCGCAAGGCCUUGAUGUUUACGCUUGUAUGUUUGACAGAGUUAGUUGAGACAAAAAAAAGGCAACUUUUAACAAUGGAUCUCUUGGCUCUU
rnacentral:misc_RNA from 1 species